rnacentral:lncRNA from 1 species
CCCUCCUUCCUCAUCACACCAUUUCUAAAUUCAGAAAUUAUUAUUCUAUAGUAUUGUGAGUAUUUUUCUUGAGUAUAAGAAUAUUUUGAGCGAAGUUUUUCUGCAAGAUUUUCUCAGAAUAAUAUCCGAUAUUCCAGUCAAAUCCAGUUUCUACCAAGGUAAAGGAUAUUAUUUUAUUGCAAUACUCGUGAGAAGUAUAUUAUUUUCUUUCAUACUCCAUAUUAUGAAAACGAUAUUAUUUCAUCUCGUAUUCUUGAAUUUGAACUUACUAUGGUAAGUAUUGCUUCUAUAAUUCCUGAAAUGAUUAAAAAUUUCGCUUCAUCUAUUAUCAUUUCAUAGGAAUAUUGGUCUGAACUUUUUAAUCAAAUUUGGAACUUUUCAUGACAGUUACUGUUCACGGGUACUGUUCAUGAGUACUGUUCACGGGUACUAUUCAUGAGUACUGUUCACAGUUACUAUUCACGGGUACUGUUCACGGGUACUAUUCACAAAAGAAAAAAAAUAUUUUUUUCUUCUCCUUCCAAGUUAUCAGUUGUGACCCUUAUUCUUGAAAUUGAAUCUAUGUUUUAAUCUUUAUUUUGAAUUCUGCUUCACAAUUGGUUAUUAUGAAGUAUUAUUGAUUUUGGAUAAACUGUUAUACGAAUUCCUAAUAUUUGUCCUUUUGUCUCACUGGAUUCGUUUUCUCUGAAAUGUUUUUCAUCAUCCUCAGUCCUAAAUGAUUAUAUUACUGAAUUAUCUUUGGCCUGUAGUGCAAAGAUGAAUGAUUAACUGAUGAAUAUCUUUGGCCCGUAGUGCAAAGAUGAAUGAUUAACUGAUGAAUAUCUUUGGCCCGUAGUGCAAAGAUGAACAGGUGUUGAGAUGAACAUGACCGACGGGUGACUCAAAUAAAUAUCUUUGGCCUGUAGUGCAAAGAUAAAUAUUUGAUUAAAGAUGUAUAUUGAUUGUUGUUACAGGGAUAAAAUAUUGAUGAUGGACUUUUAAAUCUUAGAGGAUAGUAGAACUCAUUCUCUACUUAACUCUUCUAAUGAAUUGUUAUUUUCGCUGCGAAUAUUGAUCUAAAAUUGGUUGUCCCUUAUAUUUUAUCUGAUUUAUUGAAGGCUAACGAUAAAUUGUUGUUCUUUAUCUUAGUCAUAAUAUUCUUUACUGGGCUAGUUGAGCUCACCAUUUUCCUUUUUGUUCCAUUUUUCUUCUCAGGAGGUGAGAAUAUAGCAGGAAUUAGUCGGGGUAAAGAGUGAUGGUCCUAGACAGUUGUUUUAGCAGUCCUCACUAUUUUUGUAAAAUAGUGUAUCAAUAAAUAUAAUGAGAACUUAUUUGUGUGUGGAUAUUGUCUAGAAGACAAUAUUUGUAUUUAAACUCACAGCAUGUGUGUUGUCGUAUUUUGCACGAUAAUUGUAAUAAUAAAAGUUGUAGUUGUUUCUGUACCAUGUAUUUGGAGACUCAGAAUGAGUGAUGUAUACCUAUUUUGGGGGAGUCCCAAUUUACAUGACUAUCCGAUUUUCCGGGUUUCCACAGAUAAUUUAUGAUAUUCAUAAUUGUAUUGACUUAAACCAAAUUAACC